rnacentral:rRNA from 1 species
AUGGCCAUGGUGACUCGGUAUUCUUGGAGGAAGAGAAGAGGGAGGGAGAUGAGGUGGGAUGGAGAGAAGAGAAGGGAAAAUAGGGACUGCGUGACUACCUACUGCUGGUCCGGCGGCGGCUCCGGUACUCUCUCCCUCAGUCUAAGAUCUCUGGGAAGAAAUUAUUUUAACAAUAUUCACUCUAUUGUGCUUAUUGCGGUCAUGUGGAAUAUAUGGAAGCAAAGGAACUCCAAGCUCUUCUAG